rnacentral:lncRNA from 1 species
GACAUUUAAGUAACUAUCAAAUCAAAUAACAAUACUAACUGAUGGAUAUUAUCUACAUUCAUAUAGAAAUAAAAUAUCCAUUCUUGGAUGUUGCAUGGUUACAAGUUGGCACAUUCUUUACACUGAUGAGAAUACUAUUUACAUACAGAUAAAAUGUGAUGCAUUCAAAAGCUAUAAUUAGUCUUCUUUGCAGUCUUUGACAAAAGAUAACAGCAAUGUAGGCACCUGUAAAAGCAAUAAAUAAUGAUCAAAUGUCAAUCACCGUAUAAUAUGAAAGUAACAAUUUAUGCCAAUACAAAUACUUGUACUCAAUAUUCUCAUCAAUGUGUGCAUCAAUAUCAGCACCUCUCUCAACCGUAUACAUAAAAAGCUCUCUUCUUGCAAAAAGGCCACAAAUUUUGCAAGUAACUUAAAUCUCACAUGGUUAUUAAUAGCUAAUGCACCAUUAAACGGAGGAAGAGUACGAAGAAAGAGAGAGAAAGAAGUGUAGAAGUGUCAAAUGUAGUUUGUUUGACUCAAAAGAUGUUGAGACCUUUUUGAAUAAAUCAAUCGAAGAUGAAGGGGUAAAUCGUAACUGAAGAUAAUAAUCUCUAGAAUAAUGAUAGGUAAAAGGAAGAGAAUUACAGAGCUUCUUUUCAUUCAAAAUUGGUAUCUCUAGAAUAAUGAUAGGUAAAAGGAAGAGAAUUACGGAGUUUCUUUUCAUUCAAGAUUGGUAAGUUUUUUCUCUGUCCCUCUUUACAAGGUCUUUUGUCUCCCUUAUAUACUAGAAAGGAAACCUUCCCAAUCGUAAGAAACCAAAAAUACCAGGAAUAUUCUUAAUGUCCCAUAAUGGGUUUACACUUCUACUAGGGUUGUACGGUUUCUCCUUUCGCCUUGGGGUCGUCUUCCUUGGGACACCGGUUCGGAGUUACCCGGUCGUUUGUCGUACUCGUUAUAGGUCAUGGUCGGUCAAAUUUGGACCCAUACAAUUAGUCCCUCCGCUUGUCGAGAUCGCGACCGGAUGCGUCCUCAAUGAACGGACUUCAUGCAUUCUCCUAGAGAAAUUUGACCUGUGGGAACAUUAUGACGUGGCCAAUGGGAGAUGGUCGUCAUGCUCAGCAAAAUGUCGUGUGGUACACUUCUCCGGGAAGUGAUGUCAGCCUUACGUGUGUCAUCAUCACGCAGGUUUUCGAGGGGGGUAACGGCUUGGUGCUUCGAUUCUUGUGCUAUUUCGAAGCCUGUCGCCUCGAUUCUGGCGCCUCCCAAUCCUAUAAAUAGGUGGAGGAUUUGAUUUUUUGAAAAACUUUAGCCAUUCCUCUCUUGAAGACCUCUCUCUCUCUUUCCCUCUUGCUCUCAUAUCCUUCUAUAUUUCUUUCGUUCCUCAACUGAAGCUUCUUCUUCCUUCCUCCUUUUGUGUUGAUACUCCUUUAAACGAUAUUAUGCCGAGGUCUCGUCAUUAUCGCGAAGAGGUUCCUGAAGCCACCCCGUCAUCCACGGUGCCUCCUUUUGACAUCGGAGAUGUGGUGGUAGAAGAGAGUGACAGCCUUCCUACAGUAGAGGAGCUACUACCGAGGAACCCCUCAUCCCGGAGUGACUUCCUCAAAGAUCCACCUCCUACCCCGAACCCCGUAUUUUCUGAGACGGAGCAGGUCCAUAUUGAUGCCCUUCGUAUAAAGUAUGGCAUUCCUGCUCAUAUAGAAAUGAUUCCAGCGGGGAGAGAUUACGUGGACGUCCACAGACUUGGAUACUGUGCUUUCUAUGAGUAUCCUUUUAUGAUCGGUUAUACCUUUCCUCUACUCCCCUUAGCGGAAGAAUUCUGCAGAUUUUACCAAGUUUGCCCCGCACAACUUUCGCCAUACACGCUCAAGGUGCUUCUGCUAUUGACUAAGUAUGUAGAGUUGGGGGAGUUUAGCGUUUCUGUCCACCACCUUUUGCACCUGUUCACGCCUAGUUUCCUCAGGGGUACCAUGGUACAUUUGAGGCUUCGUGGUACGAAGGGCUGGUGGUUGGAACAGACGACCAGGUGAGCCGCAAAUUCUGGCACAAGUACUUCUUUGUCAAGACCGAGCACGUCGUUGUUGACUCCGCCAGAUUUCCGGAGUGGUGGAAUGGAGCUCGUAAGUGUCGUCAUUCGUUAUGUUCCUCUCUCUUCUGUAUUUACUAUAAAGCUUAUUCACUUGCCGUUUUGCAUCUAUAGGUCGUCCACCUCGCCCCAUUGCGGGUAUCAGAGAUUGGGUAGCCCGCCUGUUGCCUCAUGCAGCAGAAACUCGAACUUGGCCCGACUUCGUGCAGCGUUAUGGCCGUAAAGUUUCCUCAGGUAAACGUCUUACUUAUUACUUCUUUAGCCAUGCGACCUUACUUAAUAGUACGAACUUCUAUGAUGACAGGUCGAGGUGCUUCCAGGUGGAGGGCGCCAGUCCCCUCUUUUCAACAAGCCGUUACCACUGCAGAUACGCAGUUUGUCUUGAGUGAGUCUAUUCGAGAGGGUCGUCCUCAACCUAUCCAAUUGGGGGAUCCGUCUCGAGUCGUGGCCGCGAGGGAAGAGGUUUCUUCGGUACCGGCCGCACAUCCUUUGGAUGAAUCCUCUAACGGGGACGAGCCGUUGUCGAGGAAAAUGAGGAGGCUUGAGCUAGAGAAAGGCGUGGCUACGGACGUUGAUGGCAGCGAGGCGUCCCGGACAUCCCCUGUGCCUGUGUUCAUGGUCGAUGCCAUUUUGUCGGGGAGAUCUCCCCAAGUGGAGGGCAUUGGCCCAGGAGUUAGUUCAGUGCGCUCUGUUGAGGGUGGUGCGUCGUCCAACGUUGGGGGGCAUCGUGUACGACUCAGGUUCGGAUAUCGACCUAGAGGAUGUUAAUGAAUUUGUGGGUCACCAUACCCAUGUGGAGGUUAGGAUGGACGGAUCCGACCGUCAUGUGGUCGUUCCGGGGAACUACAACUUGCUACUGAACAGCGAGCAAGUGGCAUCGGCCCUAGCUCCUCUAUGUGCAGCUCCUGAAAGCGAGAUGCUUAGGGCGAUGAGCGACGUGGAGUUAUCUCAGAAGGUCGCUGGUAUGGCCCUGCAGGUAGGUGCCUUUCCUUCUCUUUUCGUUGUUGGGUUGGUGCGAUAAUCGUCAUUUUAUACUUUGUUUCUGACCUCUUCCCUUCUUUUUUGUCAGACCCUCGUCAUGGAGGUAGAGAGAGAGCGUCGAGAGAGGAUACGUAAGGGCCUUUUAUGAGAAGAUGUCGUCCAAAUAUCAUCAGUAUCGGGCUAAGCACCGAGUGAUGGCCGACAUUUAUCAUUAGGACCCUGAGUUUCAAGUUUUUCGUGAGGGGAUCAAGCAGCGGGAGGACCAGUUGGAGCGCAAGAUUGAGGAGCUGAGGGAUAGGGAUAAAGAGCUCAUGAAGGUUGUCGCCCGUAACAGUGAGUUGGAGGCCUCCCUUAAGGCGAAGGAGGACGAGCUCGAGUUGAGGCGGGGGGGGGGGGGGUGACGGCUGAGAAUGCCGACUUACAAGCGAAGGUGGCCGACUUGACCACUGGGUUGAGUACUAAGGUAGCGAGGAUUGAGGGGCUUAAGGGCGAGCUGAACGUUAGCGCUGAUAAGUUGGCGGCAGCUAUUUCUGAAUCGAUAUCUUUAGAAGAUGCCCUCCGCAUUUCUAGAUCCGAGUUGACUGAGGAGAAGGAAGCCUCUGGUCGUCGGGUGGCAGGGCUCGAAGGGCGUGUCAAAAAACUGGAGGCGGAGCUGACCACACUAAACGGACAAAUGGCCUCGCUGAGGGCGGAGGAUGCGCGUCGACGUUCUCAGCCUUCUACGUCUCGCGCCUCAGCCGAUCCGGUUGUGCCCCGUCGUUUAUACGAGUUGUGGGUCCAUGUGGAGGCUCGGCUUGAUAUGUAUAAGGCUUUUCACUCCGAGGGAAGGGCUACUGAGGCGGAGGUUCAGGUUGUGCACGCCGAAGCUCGUGCAGCUAGUGAGUCAUGCGGGUACAACCCCCUCACACUUGACGAGGAUGAUUUCAACUCUGAUGAUGCGAAUUGCCUUGCUUCAUAUUCGUGGUACGAAGACUCUUACCCCGCUGGGGAUGAUGUGUAGUCUUAGUUUGUAUUUGCUUUUGUUUAGGGAUUUUUGCACGGGUCGUACUUGGGCCCGUUUGUAGGGGCCAGUGUAAAUGAUGUUUUGCUGUAAUGUAAAAUUUACUUUUGUCGGCUUGUUUUGUUCUUGCAUUCAUCGCACACAUGAUAUCGUUGACGCCCUCGGCUAUUGGGAUGUUGCUUCAAACUGUCAUCGAGGCGGGAUCACGUCGUAGUUCCAACGAGGUCGAACUUAUGUUUUCGUCGAUGGCCUUGGCCAGUGGGGUGCUGCUUCGACCUGUCGUCGAAGUAGAAUCCCGUCGUGGUUCGAACUUACAUUGUUGUUGAUGGCCUUGGCCAUUGGGAUGUUGCUUCGAACUGUCAUCGAAGUAGAAUUCCAUCGUGGUUGGAACGAGGUCGAACUUACAUUGUCGUUGAUGGCCUUGGCCAUUGGGAUGUUGCUUCGGACUGUCGUCGAAGUAGAAUUCCGUCGUGGUUUGAACGAGGUCGAACUUACAUUGUUGUCGAUGGCCUUGGCCAUUGGGAUGUUGCUUCGGAUUGUCGUCGAAGUAGAAUCCCAUCGUGGUUCGAACGAGGUCGAACUUACAUUGUUGUCGAUGGCCUUGGCCAUUGGGAUGUUGCUUCGAACUGUCGUCUAAGUAGAAUCCCGUCGUGGUUCGAACGAGGUCAAACUUACAUUAUCGUCGAUGGCCUUAGCCACUGGGAUGUUGCUUCGAACUGUCGUCGAAUUAGAAUCCCAUCGUGGUUCGAACGAAGUUGAACUUACAUUAUCGUCGAUAGCCUUGGUCAUUGGGAGGUCGAACUUACAUUAUUGGCGAUGGCCUUAGCCACUGGGAUGUUGCUUCGAAUUGUCGUCGAAGUAGAAUCUCGUCGUGGUUCGAACGAGGUCGAAGAUAUUGCUUCGAACUGUCAUCGAAGUAGAAUCCCGUCGUGGUUCGAACGAGGUCGAACUUACAUUAUCGGCGAUGGCCUUGGCCACUGGGAUGUUGCUUCAAACUGUCGUCGAAGUAGAAUCCCGUCGUGGUUCGAACGAGGUCGAACUUACAUUAUCGUCGAUGGCCUUGGACAUUGGGAUGUUGCUUCCGUCGUGGUUCGAAUGAGGUGGAACUUACAUUAUUGGAGAUUUGAUUGUAUUCCCGUAAGGAGACGUCACAUGUCGACUAGUGGAGAUCUGGUUCUACACAUACAAUGGAGGUUUGAUUCCAUAGAUACAAUAGAGAUUUGAUUUCGUACUUACAAUGGAGAUUUGAUUCCGUACAUACAAUGGAGAUUUGAUUCCGUACAUACAAUGGAGAUUUGAUUAUGUAUAUGUAGUCCCUUCAUUACUUCGAUCCGGAGGUCAUAUCGACGGGUCGAGGUAAUGAACAGCAUGUCGCUCCUUAAGGUGUCCCCCUUGCCUCCUCGUUAAAAAACUCUCGGGAAAACCCGAUUGGAACAAAAACCGGGUGAGGGAAAAAGAGUACGACUUAGGUGACACCUUCUUUUAGAAGUGGAAGUACUUGAGAUAGGCGACGUUCCAGUUGUUUUGGAGUAGUUUUCCUUCCAUUGUUUCUAGCUGGAACGCUCCUUUAUUUGCUGCUGCUACGAUUUUGUAUGGUCCGUCCCAGUUCGUUCCCAAUUUCCUUCAUUAGGGUCUUUUGACGCUUGUGUUUUGGUCUUGAGGACGUAGUCGCCAACUUUGAGUGGUCGCACCUUGGCUCUCUUGUUGUAGUAUCUUUCUACUUGCUACUUCUGGGCUACCAUUCUUAUGUGGGUCGUGUCUCUUCGUUCUUCAACUUCAUCCAGAUCUUGUAGCCUGCUUUCAUCGUUGCCUAUUCUGCUCUCGUUGGAGUAUCUCAAACUAGGCUCCCCGACCUCGACGGGUAUGACUGCAUCGGUCCCAUAGACCAGUGAAUAUGGUGUUUCUCCUGUGUUGGUUUUUGGCGUAGUGCGGUAUGCCCAUAAUACUUCCGGUAGUAGCUCAGGCCAUAGCCCUUUAGCUUCCCCAAGCUUCUUUUUCAAUAUGUUCAAUAUUACUUUAUUGGAGGAUUCGACUUGACCAUUGGCGGCUGGGUGGUAUGUCCUGAAGAGUAUUCGUUUGAUGCGCCACUUUUCGAAAAACUUUGUCAUUCUUUUUCCGAUGAACUAAGGUCCGUUGUCACAGCUGAUUUCUUCGGGGUUGCCAAAACGGCAUAUAAUGUUUUUCCAUAUGAAGGCGACGACCUCCUGCUUGCGUAUCUGAGAGUAUGCACCUGCUUCCACCCAUUUAGAAAAGUAGUCAGUUAAAACCAAAAGGAAGCGUACCUUACCUCGUCCUGCUGGGAGGGGGCCAACUAUGUCCAUUCCCCACUUUAUGAACGGCCAUGGCGAAGUAACGGAAUGAAGGAGCUCCCCUGCUUGGUGUAUCAUAGGGGCGUACUUUUGGCAUUGUUCAUAUCUCCUGACAUAGUCGGCGGCUUCUUUUUUCAUUGUAGGCCAGUAGUAUCCGGCGCGAAUGAGGCAUCGGACGAGGGCACGGUUUCCUGUGUGGGUGCCACAGUGCCCUUCGUGUACAUCUUCCAGCACUUGCCUUGUUUGAUGUGGCCCAAGACAUUUGGCUAGAGGGCCGCCAAACGUUCUUUUGUAGAGAUCGCCAUUUACUAGGCUAUACCGGGCUGCCUCGACGUGGUCUAUUGCGGAAUGAAGGAGGGUGACCACGUUUUCUUUGUUGAUAUUCUUGGUGGCCGCAGCUAGUUUGGCGAGGCCAUCUUCUUCGAUAUUUUGCGCCCUGGGUAUUUGGUCGAGGCGGCAUUCAUCAAAUUCUGGCAGUAGUUUGUGGAUUUAUGACUGGUAUCUUUGUAGCCUCUGCUCUUUGAUUUGGAAAGUCCCGGUGACCUGAUUCACCACGAGUUGGGAGUCGCAGUGGAGGACGAGUCGUCGAGCGCCAUAUUUGAGGGCUAACUUCAAACUUGCAAUCACAGCUUCAUACCCGACCUCGUUGUUAGUCAUCUCGGGGUAUCGUAUGGACUGUCGAAUUACUUCGCCUGUAGGGACCUUGAGGACGAGUCCCAGUCCCGAUCCCGAGGCAUUAUAGGCACCACCGGUGUAGAGGACCUACAGGUCGAUAUGUGUAGAAGAGCAGAGUGCUUCCUGUUCUACCUCGGGCAAUAUUUUCGUGCAGAAAUCAGCGAAAGUCUGCGAGCACCUGCGACUUGAUGGCAGUUCAUGGUUGGUACGUUAUGUCGUGCUCGCUUAGUUCUAUAACCCAUUUGGCUAGUCUACCAGAUAGUUCAGGUUUUUGUAGGAUACCCCUUAGGGGGAAGGUUGUCACCACUUUUAUGGGGUGACAUUGGAAGUACGGUCUAAGCUUCCGUGAAGCUAUGACAAAUGCCAGAGCUAGUUUUUCAAGGUGAGGGUACCUCGUCUCGGCAUCGAUUAAAGUUUUGCUGACUUAGUAAAUCGAAGACUGCGUACCUUUAUUUUCACGGACCAAGAUGGCGCUUACCGCAACUUCGGAAACUGCUAGAUACACAUGUAGGCAUUCACCUUGGUCUGCUCUGACGAGCAGUGGUGGCGAGGAUAGAUACGUUUUCAGCUUUCUCAGGGUGUCGAUGCAUUCAUCGUUCCAUUGCAACCCGUGGUCUUUCCUUAGUACAUUGAAGAAUUUAUGGCAUCUAUCCGAGGAUAGCGAAAUGAACCUUGAUAGGGUGGUUAUUCGUCCCGUUAACUUCUGCACCUGCUUUUUGCUGGUCAAUAUUUCCGGUAUUGCAUCGAUGGCCUUGAUUUGAUCUGGGUUGACCUCGAUUCCCCUUUGUGACACUAGGAAACCGAGGAAGUUUCCAGAAGUCGCGCCAAAGGCGCACUUUUUGGGAUUCAGUUUCAUUCCGUACUGCCUUAGUAUUUCGAAGGCUUUCUUCAGAUGACCAAUGUGAUCUUCUUUCUUUGCUGACUUCACUAGCAUGUCAUCAAUGUAAACCUCCAUUGUCUUACCGGGUUGUUCUUUGAACAUUUUGGUGACCAACCUUUAAUACAUGGCCCCUGCAUUCUUAAGCCCGAACGGCAUCACCUUGUAGCAGUACGUACCUUGGUGAGUGAUGAAAGUGGUCUUUUCUUGAUCUUCUUCAGCCAUUAGAAUUUGAUUAUAACCGGAGUACGCGUCCAAGAAGCUCAGUAGUUCGUGCCCCGCUGUUGCAUCAAUAAGUUGGUCGUUGUGGGGGUAACGGGAAAGAGUUCUUCGGGCAUGCUUUGUUCAAAUCGGUGAAGUCGACACACAUUCGCCACUUCCCGUUCUUCUUUUUGACCAUGACCACAUUGGUGACCCAUUGGGGUAUUUCGAUUCUCUGAUGGAACCGUUGGCGAGUAAUUUAUCAACUUCUUCGCUGACCGCCUCAUUGAUUGCGGCAUUGAACUUUCUCCUCAUUUGUCGUACCGGUGGAUAAAGUGGAUCGACAUUUAGCUUGUGUGUGGCUAUUUCCCUUGGGAUUCCUGGCAUAUCUGAGUGGGCAAAAGCAAAUAAAUCGGCGUUGUUAGUUAAAAACUCACGAUACUCACCUGGCUCCGAUAGGUUGUGCCCAACAUAAGCCUUCUUGGUGCAGUCGGUGUUAUCUAACUGGACGGGAUCAAGAUCUUCUACGGUUGCUUUGCAUGCUUCUACAAUGUCCGAAUCUUUGAUGGCCUCUACUUGUAUGUCGGGUUUGGUGCCGGACAUGGCUGACUGCUAUGCUUCCGCGCUUGCCCCUUUUAGCUGUUUGGUGUGUGUGCAAUAUUGGGCGAUCCAGUAGCAUUCUUGGGCGGUACGUGGCUCGCCUCGGAUGCUGAAUAUCCCUCAUGGGGUGGGAAAUUUGAUCACUUGAUAGAAGCUUGAGGGGACGGCUCGCAUGGCGUGUAUCCAUGGUCGCCAUAUGAAGGCGUUGUAGGCCGUUUCCUAGUUCAUGACGUGGAAUGUUAUUUCCAGGGUGACCCCUCCUACUAGGACAGGUAGCACUAUUUCUCCGGAUGUCCGCUCUACUGCAUUAUUAAUACUCGUUUNNNNNNNNNNNNNNNNNNNNNNNNNUACCAUGAUUCUUUUUACAUCGGUGUCAGCGAUGCGUAAAGUUAUAACCAAAGCAUCAUAGUGAGGGAAAGACAAACCAUCGGUAUCUGACUUAUCGAAGAUGAUACUAUCUUCGAGGUCAUCAUACCGUUCGUGGGCGGCUUUCCGUUUGAGUUUAUGCAUGGUGGUGAACUUCACAUGGUUGAUUACCGUAUCAUCGCCGCCGCCAAUGAUCAUUUGUAUGGUAUGCGCUGGUGAUGGUGUCUUUAGAGGUCUUUGAGAUAGGUCGCGCCCUCGAGCGAAGUUGGACCUUCCUUUAUAGCUUAGCAGUUCUUUCAGGUACCCCUAGUUCAACAUCCUAACUACUUCUUGUCGCAGACCUAUGCAAUCUUCGGUCUUGUGUCCUCUUUCUUGGUGGAAUUCACAGAGGACAUUCGACCUCCUAGUGCUUGGAUCCGAUUUCAUCUUUUGCAGCCACUGCACCUUCGUGCCCAGUUUUUCUAGUGCGUACACUAUUUCUGAAGGGGAAACACAAAAAUUAUGAGCAGAUAGUAGUGGAGGCAUACCUCUUUCGUUUCGGAAGGGUACCAUGUGUCGUGGCAUGACGUUCGCGUGUCGUGGAGGGGACGGGUUGGAUGUGCGGAUAUAGGGUUGAUGCCUUUCUCGAUUGAAACAUGGUGGUUGAUCUCUUCGCCCAUCGUUACGUCGAUCUCUCCUUGUCUCGGUCUGGACUGAUGUUAAUCGCUGAAGCGGCCCAUUCAGGUCAUCCUCGUCUGCCCUUACCUCGGCGCAAUAAGCAUUGUGGAUUUCUUCCCAUGUGGUUGGGGGGUACUUCAUGAGUCUACUGAGAAGUUUUUUGGUCGCCUUUGAUCCAUUCCUGUUUAACCCAUUUUGAAAGGCUGCCACUGCCAUCCCUUCUGACACGUUCGGUAAACUCAUCCUUACUUUGUUGAAUCGGGCCAGGAAAUCCCGAAGUCCCUCGCCCAUCGUUUGUCGGACGACGAAGAUAUCAUUGACUCUAGCCUCGACCUUCUUCGCUCCUACAUAGGCGAUGGCGAAUUUAUCCCCAUCUCUUCGAACGUCGAUAUCGAUCGCGCUGGUAGCUGGGAGUACCAUGUCAAUGCUCCCCCUGUCAAAGUCUCGCCGAACUUUUUUAACAGCACAGACGGUACCUGCUCUUUUGACAGAUCAUUGCCCUUUACUGCAGUAACAUAAUGGAUUAGGUGAUCUUCCGGGUCCGUGGUCCCGUCAUAUAUCUUCAAGUAUGGUGGCAUCUUAAAGGCCUUUGGAAUAGGAUGAAGAGCAGCCCCUUCGUGGUAUGGCUGUUCGACGAAUCGGCCCACAUCACGUUUUGGUAAUAGCUUCAGAGCACCCGGUAUUUUGUCAACCCUCUCCUGAUAUUCCUUCAUUUGGUCGCGGAGUGUUUUUUUCUCAUUUUCCAUCUCUUCCAUUUUCUUUAAGAUGGCCAUGAGUGCAUCGUCACCUGCAUUAGUAACAGUGCGGGUGUUACAUGUUUGUGUAGCGCUUGGCUCAUUGGCGGCAGCUGCGAUGUCUGUAGGUGGCACUUCUUCGACGUCUCCUUGAGUGGGUUUCUCGAGCAUGUUGCUCAAAGCACUCGUUAACCAUUCUUCUAGUAGCGUUUUGACGGCUGGUGGGGCUUCCCCCGCCAUGGAUGUUGAGGUUCCCCUUUCGCGUAAGAUCGUUAGAUCCCCGUGCGGAAGAGGUGAGAUCUCUCCCUCCGGUGUAGCGCUUGGUGUUGAAUUCUCAUUGUCUUCUCUGUCGGCUUCGUUGAGGGAGUUCAGGAGAUUAUUCGAGACAUCUGCUACCGCCUUCAGCCUCGCUUUCUUUCCCGCCAUUGUUGGUUUUCAUGAUGUUUGAAGAAAAGUAAUUAUCACUUUCGGGAAUCUAGAUGAGAACUAUGAUUUCAGCUACAGAAAUCCCCGCAGACGGCGCCAAAUUAUUUGACUCAAAAGAUGUUGAGACCUUUUUGAACAAAUCAAUCGAAGAUGAAGGGAUAAAUCGUAGCUGAAGAUAAUAAUCUCUAAAAUAAUGAUAGGUAAAAGGAAGAAAAUUGAAGAGUUUCUUUUCAUUCAAGAUUGGUAAGUUUUUUCUCCGUCCCCCUUUACAAGGUCUUUCGUCUCCCUUAUAUACUAGAGAUGAAACCUUCCCAAUUGUAAGAAACCAAAAAUACCAGGAAUAUUCUUAAUGUACCCUAAUGGGUUUACACUUCUACAAGGGUUGUACGGUUUUUCCUUUCGCCUUGGGGUCGUCUUCCUUGGGACGCCGGUUCAGAGUUACCCGGUCAUUUGUCAUACUCGUUAUAGGUCGUGGUCGGUCAAAUUUGGACCCAUACAUAAUUUGUGUUAAGAUUGGCUCGUGCCGUACUCUGGUAUAAGAAGUGAACAAAAGGAAUGAAAUUGUCAAAUUAAAAAUUAGGAAUAUUACCCCCAAAUAAUCUAAUUCCAAUUAAGCUGACAAAUACGGGGAUAGCAAAUAAAGCUAUUGAGAGUUCAGAAUGUGAUGAAAGCUGAGACAUUAAUAAGACAAAUGCUUUGUGUUGCAAUUUCCGCCCAUGCACCAAAGCAAUAAGUACAUCAAUUGCUUCUGAAACAUAAAAUCAAUGCUAAUAGGUUACCAAAAGAAGAAACUGUUACUCCUAACGAAUUAAGAAAAUGAGCAAGUAUUUUGUAAAAAAAAAAAACUUUAUCUCAAAAAUUUAAUCUAUUUCUACCACACUACUUAAGAAAAGAAUUAGCAUACAACCUUAGCAUAUUUGGAGCAUGUCAGAAAGACUUGCCACGUCGACCUCAAAAUUGGUAGCUACUAUUAGUAAGUAGUGAGAUAGAUAAGAUAAUUAACUUUGGGUAACAUACACCCUUACCGUUUUAGCAAAAUCACAACUAUGUCGUCCCUUGACUGCCUUGAUUUCAAAACCCAGUAAAUUAAAAUUAGCAUGCUUCAAAAACUCCAGUAUUAUGAGGUAACUCUAAAAAAAAUGGUAUGAUCUGAAGCAGCUCCAAGAACCAGAUGCUAAUGAGCUAAAGGCUGAAGCUCUUAUGAUCUUAUGGACACACCAUAAUCAGUGUAGCAUACUAUAGUUAUUAUCUAGUGGCAUAAAAAAUAUUAACAAAAUUGGCAGUCAUGAGAGAGACGAAGAAGCUUGAAAUUAAAGUCAUAGGACACAUAGCAUACAAUGGGAAUGAAGAGAAAUGGAUCAGCCAGAUUCUGAAGAAAAAGGAAAAAACCUAGAACACCAGGCAGUAACUUUGCAGGUGACAACUUAAAAGUUAAAAGUAUUGAAGAUUCUAAUAUGUAACCAGCUAUUAAAAAAGAAUUUAUGUAAAACACUUUAUAAAGGAUCUAUGUAAAAAAGUUCAUAGACAAGGAGAUAUAUUUUUGUACAAGUUGCGUAUUAGCUCGCAUAUCAAUAUUCAACUUGCAGAUAUUAUUGACGUGUUAAUAAAGCAUGAAGAAUAACUUAGUAAUGCAGGAAUUAUGGACUACAAUAGGAAAAUAGUAAACAGGUAAACUAACCUAAUAUGACAGUAGCAAAAAAUAACUACAACAACAUCCAAAAGGCAGCAGAAAAAGUGGCAUCAACCGUUUUGAAAAACAUCAGCAAAAGUGGCUUCAAUCACAUCCAUAAGCAGCACAGGUGUACGUGCUCAAUGUAGGAAAUUUUCAACUUCUACUCAUAGUUCUCCACCUUUUCAGAGCUCAAAUCCAGCAAAUCCUUUUAAGAAAAAGGAUGAUAGCAAUUAAAAAGCGAUGCAAUCUGAUAUAAAUAGCUGGUAUAGAUACAGAGUUUAAAAUAGACGCAAAUAUUAUAAUCUACGACUAUAAUAACUAUAGGAUAAUCACACAGAUCAUGUGCGUGCUAUUGGGAGCUGUAGUAAAGCUACAUUUAAAGUUGAUAGACUUGUUGAACUAAGAAACUAAAAGUCACAACUUUUGGUUUUGAGUGUGGUGAGGAGCUAUUUUUGAAACUUCUAACACAAUAAAUGACUAAACCUAGAUACUUCUAAAGAGAAGAUACAUAGUGUGCACAUGUUCAAUAUGCUAAGAUAGUAGCAAUUUCAUAUUCAUCAUCAGUAGCCUUCCAUUUGACAAGAUAUUUCACUUGAAAAGCACAUAGUAGAAAAAUAGUGAAAAAAGAAUUUAGAAGAUAGAAACAUAACGCAUAAAUUGCAUACUCCUCACUACUUGUUAGGUCCUUGAACCUAGAUAGGCACUUUGGUAUAAGGGACGUUUCCAUUACAUUGCAUUGCAUCUCGUCACACCUCCUCUGGCACGAGGUCACAUUUAGCUCAAUCAAUUUCUUCUUGGAACUGUAUUUUAGACACCAAAUGAUUAAACAUAAAAAUAUCACUUAAACAUAUCUCACUUCAAUUUAUACUCUAUCCAGAAGGUCAGAAAUGUGAAUCACUCAUUUAUCUGACAUACACUCUAUAAGCCAUGAGGUUGCCUUCUCACAGCUAUUUCCUCAGGAAUAAUAUUCCAAUACAUGUGAAACCAAUAAGUACCCAUCAGCUUAUUUCAUAAAAUACAAUUUUAAUACUCCACUCAAUAAAAUAUACGACCCUCCAUUACAAAUUAAAGCAGCCACAAAAACUUGUUAUAGUUUAUCUUGGAAGUGAGAAGUUCAUCUGUUACCUCUCAAAUAUAAGCUACCUAUUAUCCAUUACUAGCUCCCUCUUCUUCUUGAAUUUCACAGGAGAGAACAACUCUUGCAUGAUUUAAAUCGCACCUUUUCUGGCUCCUCAUUAAACAACAACUCCUCACACUUGAUUUCAUGAAGAACUGCAAAUCUGCUCUCCAGUAACAACUAAGAAGCGAUUCAUUAGAGUUAGUUACACUUUAUUUUUGAGUUAGCUGUGAGACUCUAGUGCAACAAAUCAAUCAAUGAAAAGUUAUAACCAGUGAGCAAUACACAUUAUGAACAUAACAAACUCUUUAAUAGCAGGGAGAACAUCAAAGAAGGUUGAAGAAACUUGUCUUACCAAGAACAUCAUAAGAGCAAGACAACUUGAUAUAAACCAGGUAAAAACUCUACUGAGAUCUAAUUUAAUGGACAUUUUUGCCAUAUUACAUACAACUCAUGAAUCAAAUAGCGCAGUUUAGGUUUGCGAUUAUUAGGUUAUAGAAAUUAUUGAAAUUCAUUAACUAAAAGCAUGCCCAAAUGAACAAUAACGUAAACAAACACUAAUGUAAACUAUCAAGCCUGUAUGUAUUUAUCGAUAUACUGCAACUGAACCACGAUAUCUAAAGUUAAGGGCCAUAUGGUAGGAACUUAAGGCUAAAGUCUUUCCGUGUCACAUGUACCAUUGUUACAACAACCCGACUACAGUAAGGCAAGAGUAGGCAUUGUUUUUGUUGAUCGGUGGCACUCAAAAAAAGAUAACUGAAAUCAAUGUAUUUUUUCAAUAAGGUCUUAGGCUACAUUAUUAAAGCAAGGCAAGCUGUGGUUACUUGAUAUGAGAAGUUCCACAUUUGUCCAAAAGCGCAUUUUCUUUUUCGUCCUAGUAAAUAGGCUAUUGUGAAAUAUUCUGUAUAAAUAAGUAAAGGUAAAAAUCUCAUUUUACUUUAUGUUUUUUUUAUUGGCUUUCCCAAAUCUUUCAUCAGAACUUCGGGUCAUUGUUGACCGAUCAUUAUGACAAGCUGGACACAUAUUAGUCUACUUAGUAUUGGCUAGUAUAUAGAUGAACACAUUCGUAUUGAGUUAUAUUCCUUUACAUCUCAACUUAUGGAAUUGCUAGUUGUUUGUAUCAUCACGAAAUUGGAUCGUAAAUAUAUUAUUAGCAAGAAAUACAGAGCUAAAAAGUAAAUUGACCACUAUUGCACUAUUUUUCGCCAAGUAUAUUGUCACAUUUUAAGUGAUACUAUCAUACUAUGGACAUAUGUUUUACAAUUUCACUUAAAAAGAAACUAAAUUUUGCUGAGGAGCUUCAGCGGAUAGGAGACACAAUUAUCGCCCACAAGUACACAGUGGCAAACAUCCGAUCAAGUUGCCUAUACACACCUUUUUAUCAUAUAGGUUCUUAAGUUUCCUUUUCACUUAAUUAAUCUAUAUUAUUAUAAAAGCAUGAAUACAAUAUCUGUUUACAAAAAUAACCUUAUAAUAUUAAGCAUAAUAACUUAUAAUAAAACAUAACCUGAAUUCUAGAUAUUAGCCUUAUAAUCCUAUUAGUUUUAGGACAUAAUACUACACGUUAUGAAUUCUAGAAAAGCAUGAAAAAGUAAUACUUACAGUUAAAAGUUCAUAAGCAUUCUACAAUUUAAACUUCAAAAGAGAUGGUGAAAACCAGAACGACUUUUUCGUUGCUUGGCAUAUAAUCACUAUUCACAUAUUUAUUUUAGAAAUUGUGCUAUACAUAUAUGUAAUAUCCAGAUUUUGUGUAAAUAUCUUACAUUCGCCACCCCCAAAAAUAUGCACAUGCAUAUAUCAUUGAUUAAUUUAUCUAUCUAUAUCUAUAUUUAUUUAUAUCUAUAUCUAUCAAUAUCUAUAUCUAUAUCUAUAUUAUUAUAAAAGCACGAAUGUUCUGCGUUAAAUGUUGAACGACCAAAAUAUCCUCCAAAUAUUGAUCGACUUGUACGUCCUUUAUUAAUUAGAGAUAUCUCUAUAAUAUUAAUGUGCUAAAACGUAAAAGUACUUCAUUAUUUGUAGAGUUCAAGUCAAAUUGUAAAACCUUAAAAAUUAUGCCUCAUAAUAUGAAUUCAUCCAAAUCAAUGAUUGUGUUCAAGUGAAAUUGGAAGUCUUCCGCUUCUGGAUAUUAAGAGAGUCUUGAAAUAAAGCAAAUCAAACCAGCUCAUGAUUAUGCCCAAGUAAUACCCUUUUAUUAUUCCCGAUUCAAAUCAACGGCAAAGCAUAACAGAAGAAAGAUGUAAAGCAAUUUGUAUCCAAACUAGGAGCUCAUGAUUCUUGCCGAGUUCAUAGAAUGCUUGGAUUUAGCUUUACAAUUGGAAGUUUUAAUUAUGAUUUAAACAAUAAAUAUUAAAGCACAGGGGUUAGCAAUCCCAAAAAUUAGAUUGUAUUUGUCGCUAUAUGUUUUCUCACACGAAUACCUAUAUAUUUUACUUUUCGGAGAAAAAUUAAUGUCGUAAAUAGAUCAAGAUGGAGUAACCAAAGAAUCAAAAGGGAAAAUACACCCAAAAUAUCAUCUAUAAAGAAAGUAUUAGAUAAGAUACGAUCUCACUACAUAUUUCUAUGAUAUAAAUAGAUAUACUAUCUAAUUAACUUAACUAAAUUACUUAUAUUUGCAUUUUGACUUCAAGUAUUAAAACGAUUUUUGCCUCUUCGAUUUUUCACUUCAAUUGCUAUAUUAAAAAAUUCAUAUAAAUAAUUGAUUAAAUAUUUACCUGCAAAGCAGGUACAUAGAGACUAGUAUAUUAAAAGAAAAAGUAUCAGUCAAUAAUAUUUAUUUUUUGAUCAAAAAAACUACAAACUUUGUAAAAUAAAUCUAAUACAAACACUCCCGGCAAAAAAACAAAGAUAAUGGUUGUACUCGGAAAAAGAAUUGCAUGCUAAUAUUUCCAAAAGCAUAUAAACAAAUAAAAAGAAUUUCAUCAGCGUAAGCGGUAAGCGACUGGUUUUAAGCAAAUACAUGUAGCCUGGUAUGUAAAGGCCUCAAGAAAUAAUUAUAAAAAUUCCUAAAUAAAGAUUUUUUUUUUUUUAAAAGUCGAACUCACCGCAAUCGAGAACAAAAAAGCCUUGGUGCCCAUCAUCAAUUUCCCAUUCAAGUAUCUAACAGAUAAAUCAGUGAUGAGCAAAGGAGAUAAGAAUAGAGCCAGUUCGAGCUCCAAGGAGAAGAGGUUCAAGGAACCGAACAACAGAAGAGGAAGAUAACAAAAUAACCUUGCAAUUCCUAUUAGCUAUAGCUAAUUAGUGCACUUGAUCCUCUCUCAAUCUUGAUGAUAGAGAAAAAAGCGUAAUAUCUGAAAAGGAGAUUUCAGAGGAAAGAUCGAGAAGUUUGAUUAGGAAGGGAAUAAUAUAGAAAACGUGGCAGAUUUCAG